rnacentral:rRNA from 1 species
UACGUAGGGUGCAAGCGUUGUCCGGAAUUAUUGGGCGUAAAGAGCUCGUAGGCGGUCUGUCGCGUCUGCUGUGAAAACUCAGGGCUUAACCCUGAGCUUGCAGUGGGUACGGGCAGACUAGAGUGCGGUAGGGGAGACUGGAAUUCCUGGUGUAGCGGUGAAAUGCGCAGAUAUCAGGAGGAACACCGGUGGCGAAGGCGGCGUCCUGGACCAACACUGACACUGAGGAGCGAAAGCCAGGGGAGCAAACGGG